AGCACCAAUCUGUUGCUGUAAGAUUCUGAAUGAGAUCAAUCUUGGACCGAACUAGAAUACUUUUUGAUUGAAUUUGAUGAAGUCCGCAACACAUUCUGCAAAAAAAGUCUUAAAAUCGAUGGGGUACCCUCCGGUUCAAGACCCUCUAAUGGUUAAGUCAGAUAAAGCCUUGAGAAUAGAUUGUGAAAAUAGAAAAAUAGAAGGAUGAUAGAGUAAAUUAUGGACAAGAGAAGAGAGAGCUUUUGUUCCCUUCAGUGGGAGAGCUAAAAUGAUUCAGUAGAGUCUCAACUCUAUCAGUCGAUCUGACUUAUUUUGCAAAGGAUACCCUACCCCUCUUGAUAUAGAGGGGGUGAGGAUGGUCUACUUAGGCUGUUAAGCUAUUAAGAGAAUUUGUUAGAUCGUUAGUUUAUUAUAACAGAAUGACUAGCUGUAUAGAGAUCAUGGGAUGUUUGUCCACGUGGUGAUUGACUAUAGUAUAGCUGGAAGAUAGCUAAUGCUUAGCUAGAUGACAGCUAUCAGAUAACUAUCUGCAUUCUGACAGUACAUCGUUAUCUUAUCGAUGUGAUGCAAUUUAGAUCAGCAGCUGGCUAAACUUAGUAUCAUGUAUCCCUUUAGUACUUAAUAACUAUAUUAGCUAAAGACCGACGUAAUUCACAGC
rnacentral:lncRNA from 1 species